AGACUAAACAGGACCCAACAGAGCAGCCAGUGUCCCUGGACUUUUUGAAUCCUGAUCAUUCGAAUUGUGACAUUUCGAUGUUGGGUCUUAAUGUGGGCUGACUUCGCGGCCUGAGCCCUUGCAAGUGACAUUGGCUGGCCAGCGAGUCCCUGGAGUCUGCUGUCUUCACCGGCUGUCACCACUGGGUUACAGCUGUGUGCAACUGUGCUCAGCUUUUACAUAGAUGCUUGGGCUCUACACUGAGGUUCUCAGGCUUGCAUGAAAGCACUCAUCACCCACUGAGCCAUCUCCCCAGUCACAGAUCAGUUAUUCGUUAAUAAAAACUUAUGUAGUUUUAUAUGUAGAGGAAAUUUAUUUUCCCAGCAUACACAUGACUUGUUAAUAAAUAUUGUAUUAAAUUGUGA